rnacentral:rRNA from 1 species
GACGAACGCUGGCGGCGUGCUUAACACAUGCAAGUCGAGCGGUAAGGCUCCUUCGGGGGUACACGAGCGGCGAACGGGUGAGUAACACGUGAGUAAUCUGCCCUUCACUUUGGGAUAAGCUUCGGAAACGGGGUCUAAUACCGGAUACGACACAGACCUGCAUGGGUUCUGUGUGGAAACUUUUGUGGGUGGGGGAUGUGCUCGCGGCCUAUCAGCUUGUUGGUGGGGUAAUGGCCUACCAAGGCUUUGACGGGUAGCCGGCCUGAGAGGGUGACCGGCCACACUGGGACUGAGACACGGCCCAGACUCCUACGGGAGGCAGCAGUGGGGAAUAUUGGACAAUGGGCGGAAGCCUGAUCCAGCAACGCCGCGUGAGGGAUGACGGCCUUCGGGUUGUAAACCUCUUUCAGCACAGACGAAGCGAAAGUGACGGUAUGUGCAGAAGAAGCACCGGCCAACUACGUGCCAGCAGCCGCCGUAAAAC